rnacentral:RNase_P_RNA from 1 species
GCCCCACCGCGGCAACGGAGGCAACUCCGGCGACGAGGAAAGUCCGGGCAACGCAGAGCACCCUGCUUCCUAACGGGAAGGACUGGCGCGCGUAAAGCAACCCAGGACAGCCAGUGCCACAGAAAAGUACCGCCAGAUGGCGAAGUUGUCAGUUGCUCGUUGUUAGUUGUUAGCUCGUUCUAGCAACCGAAUAACGGACAACUAUAAACUGACAACUUCACCUUUGGUAAGGGUGAAAAGGUGCGGUAAGAGCGCACCAGCGGCUGGGUGACCAGGCCGGCUGGGUAAACCUCAGGGGUUGAAAGACCAAAUAAGCUGGUACGCACGUCCUUCGGGAGGUGCACCGGGCGGCUCGUCCGGCGCCAGCGGGUAGGUUGAUGGAGCCUUUCCGCGAGGACUGGCCUAGAUAAAUGGUGGGGCCGCUUCUGCUCGCAGGGGCGGACAAAACCCGGCUUAC